rnacentral:rRNA from 1 species
ACUCCUGCGGGAGGCAGCAGUGGGGAAUAUUGCACAAUGGGCGCAAGCCUGAUGCAGCCAUGCCGCGUGUAUGAAGAAGGCCUUCGGGUUGUAAAGUACUUUCAGCGGGGAGGAAGGCGAUAAGGUUAAUAACCUUGUUGAUUGACGUUACCCGCAGAAGAAGCACCGGCUAACUCCGUGCCAGCAGCCGCGGUAAUACGGAGGGUGCAAGCGUUAAUCGGAAUUACUGGGCGUAAAGCGCACGCAGGCGGUCUGUCAAGUCGGAUGUGAAAUCCCCGGGCUCAACCUGGGAACUGCAUUCGAAACUGGCAGGCUAGAGUCUUGUAGAGGGGGGUAGAAUUCCAGGUGUAGCGGUGAAAUGCGUAGAGAUCUGGAGGAAUACCGGUGGCGAAGGCGGCCCCCUGGACAAAGACUGACGCUCAGGUGCGAAAGCGUGGGGAGCAAACAGGAUUAGAUACCCCUGUAGUCC